AUGCGUGCUGGAGAACGUAGUCUCCCAGGUUCCCGUUUGGUGCUAGCCUGCCUCACUUUCGUCAAGAGAACUUUCCCAUCUAGUUCUGCCUGUUGAAGAAGGGACUCCUUACAGAGAGGCUCAGACCAUGCUGUCCACAGUCCAAGGCUGCCCUAGGAGAUAACGCUUAAACAUGCCAGAGCCUGGAGUGGGUGAGCAAUAAACGCUGGUGAUGAUCCUCCCCGGAAGGUGACGAGCUCAGGCCAGGAGGCCCUGGGAGAGAGUGCUGCGGGGAUGCCAGGGGUCCACACCUGGGAAGACGAAGAUGAAGCAGGCGGCCAGGCCUCCAAUGACCGAGAUGACCUUGCCGAUGUCAGGGAUGAAGAGCGCCAGCAGCAGGGUGAGCAGGAACCAGACCAGCGUCUGUAGUACUCGCCGCCGCCGCUCCCGCCCCACGUCCUCCUCCACCGGCAUCCCCUGGUAGCGCAGCCACAGGCCUUCGACCACCGCCCUGCCCACACGGAGAGCGGCUCAGAGGCACCCCUGCUAACAGCUCCCCACCUCCAGCCAUGGGGCCAGACCCCCGACUGGGUGGAUUGCAGGACUCCCCCAUCCUGCCUGUAACGUGGAUUCCAUCCCAGGAUGGGGAGUGAGCUAAGGGGACAAAAGGGACCUUGCAACUAGCACCUGAAAUCCGAAGCAGAUGGUGGGCAUGGCAUUGAACACGGCUAUCCAGGAAGCUGGCCUGCGGACAAACACACAAGAUGCUGCUGCCCAGGAACCCCUCAGGGUCACCAACCGCCGCCAUGCUCUUGCUCUUCAUUCAGCCCCCCACGGCCUCCACCAGCCAGCAUGCACACAUUCAACCCACAGAAGUCUGGGAACUGGGAGAGGACACAUUUACAGGUCAGUAAACUAGGGCUCUGGAAGGCCCUCCUGGGACCAAAAUCCAGAAUUUUGGGCUCUUGCACUUGGGCUUUUGCUUCUCUGAUUUGUUCCUUUCACGAAAAAAGAAACUUUUUUUUUUUAAUUAAGAAAAUUGAUUCAUCCUCACAUGGAAGAUACAGAUAUUACAGAUAAGCACAUGUUGAAACAAAUGUGCAAUUCCACCUUGGCAGUUUCCAUAACCUGAGGACUAGUCUCACAUUGGCUCAUCUGUUGGACAUUAGUGGCAAAGUCUCCCUCAUUCCCAGCUGUCACUCUUCUCUCCAGUAAAAAGAGAUCAGGACCUCUUGCCUCCUUCCUAAAAUGACCAAAGAGUCAAGCCCCGAUGAGCUAAUGAGCCUUGGGAAGAGCACCUGUGCGGCUUUUUGAUGCCUGACCCAGCACCUCCUGGGGCCCGAGUGGCAGCUUCUACCCCAUGUGUCUCCCGGGGGCCCUCACCCACCUGUUCAGGAUGUCCGCUGGGGUCAUCUCUUUAUCAGGCCAGAUGUAUUUGAUGAUAACGAUGGCAGUGACAUACCAGGUGCCCACGACGCUCAGGAAGCUGCCAGGAAGGAUAGAUUAAGCUUCCUCCUCCCUAGCCCCAGCUGCCUUUUCUCUCAUUCCAUCCCCAGGGACAUCCACCCUUAACUUUAGUGACCACAAGUGUCUAAUGAACCAACUGGGAGACUAUCCCAAACAAAGACUCAAAAAAUGCAUGAGAAAUAAGUUUCAGAGAAACAAGCCACAUUUAGGAAGCCAAGAGGGGACCAGACUGACACUUGUGGCCAUUAGGAAAUGAGGUGGUUCAGCUCCAUGGCUCAGAGACCACAGCAGGGGGCUGGGCUUCAAAGCACAUCUGCUACUUCAAUCAGAGCAGCCCAGAUUUGGCGAGAGGUGCAAGCAGGGCCUUUGAGAAGUAGGAGAUGCUGGAGGGUUGAAGGCACAAAUACUGGGAAGUCAACAUUAAAGGAAACCUUGGAGACACUGAGUGUGACCCCUUCGAUAAAGGAUCACAGGAAACAGCUUAGAAUCCCAUAGCUUUUCAGACUCUGAGCCAGGAAGCUAGUCCCUUCCCUUCAUACCAAGCUGCAUGGAAAAUGCUGCCAGGCUGACAAUCUCAAAUGAUCAAGAAUCCCAUCCUCCGUGGGAAAGACAAGGCCCAGGCUAGGAGACUGCCUUCACACAUGAUUAUCACCCAUCCCUUCUUUGACAAGGACAUUUGGAACUGAAUCUCUCACUGAUGCAAAGAGCCACUGUCUCCCUUGCUGCUGACACAAAAGGAAGGUCUUAUGCUGGAACCCCUGCAAGCCCCGGUCUACCCUGCCUUGCCCACUCUUGCUGCCCCAGGAGAUGAGGUGGCAUGGAGGAGAGGGGUUCCCCUGCAGCCCUUGGGUCUCCAGCUGCCUGUGAUCAGAGCUUCUGUCCAGCGCAGGCUGGGGUGGGGCCUCCGAACCUGGCAUAUUUCUGGAAGCCGAUCUCCCUGGGGAUGGAAAGGGGCAGGAUGAAGAGGAAGGCAGUGAGGCUGAUGGUGAACUUGCGGUCUGUGUACCAGGGGCUGCCGCCGGCCCCCUCAGGCUCCUUUGCCAUCACAGCUAUAACUGCACAGGGAGGAAGGAGGGAACGUGAUGCCAGGCUACUGCAGGGUGUGGUCCUCCACCUCUGCUGGGACCUCCAUCUGUCUAAUGGGCCCAGCAGCCAUGAGGGAGGAUUCCCAGAUGAAUGCCGGGCCCAGGCCAGGCCUUGGGCAGGUGUUCCAUGCUCUUUCCCGCCCACCGCAUGACCCCCAGGGCUGAGGGGGGGGGGACGAGGUAGGUACUGAGGGGGGACCUCACUCUUGUCCUGCUGGUCCCCGAUGAUGAUGAGGAAGGCGAUGCACGUCCCGAAGGUGUAGGUGGCAAUGGCCACCUCACACAGCACGCCUGUCAGCUUGCCACACACAGCCCACACCACCUCCUGGUAGGUCCUCUCAUUGCUGGCCUGGGAGCAGUAGGCCAGGAUGACGAGGCCACUGAUGAUGAAAACCAGCAUGGCCUGCAGGCAGGGGCGGAGCAAGAGGGUGUGGGAAAGGCCUGGCAGCAAAGAGCAGCCUGGUCUUGCUCAGCACUUACUGGCCCGGUGUCCAAUGCCCAUCUGGCAAAUUAGCCUUAUCUUGCAGGGCAAUUUUAAUAGAUUACUGGAGUUGAGAUUUUCUUUAAAAACAAAAAAUUUUGAGGAAAAUUUCAAACAUACGCAAAAGUAGACAGAAUGGUAUAAUGGACCCCUGUGUACCCAUCACUCAAAUUCAAAAAUCAUC